GAUGAACGCUGGCGGCAUGCCUAAUACAUGCAAGUCGAACGAGAGGAAGGAAAGCUUGCUUUUCUGAAUCUAGUGGCGAACGGGUGAGUAACACGUAGGUAACCUGCCCAUGUGCCCGGGAUAACUUCUGGAAACGGAUGCUAAAACCGGAUAGGUAGCAGACAAGCAUUUGACUGCUAUUAAAGUGGCUAAGGCCAUGAACAUGGAUGGACCUGCGGUGCAUUAGCUAGUUGGGGAGGUAACGGCCCACCAAGGCGACGAUGCAUAGCCGGCCUGGAAGGGCGGACGGCCACAUUGGGACUGAGACACGGCCCAAACUCCUACGGGAGGCAGCAGUAGGGAAUUUUCGUCAAUGGGGGGAACCCUGAACGAGCAAUGCCGCGUGAGUGAGGAAGGUCUUCGGAUCGUAAAGCUCUGUUGUAAGAGAAAAACGACAUUCAUAGGGAAUGAUGAGUGAGUGAUGGUAUCUUACCAGAAAGUCACGGCUAACUACGUGCCAGCCGCCGCAGUAA
rnacentral:rRNA from 1 species